UCAGGAACUACAGGCACGUGCCACUCUGCCCAGCUGAUUUUUUUUCUUUUUUUUUUGUAAAGAUGAGGUUUCACUAUGUUGCCCAGGCUGGUCUCGAAUUCCUGGGCUCAAGCAGUCCUCUUGUCUUGGCCUCCCAAAGUCCUGAGAUUACAAGCAUGAGGCACCACACCUACUCCUGUUUCUUCUUACUCAGGGUAAAGCAGAAUAGCUUAGAUCAUUCCUGGACUGGGACAGGCCAGGAUAUCUUGAAUCCUUUCUACUUCUCACCUCAGGGGUGCUCUCACUGAUCUUUGUAAUCCCAAAGGGACAGUAAGAAUGAGGAUAGAAUGUGCCUUUCUAGUCUUGGCUCUGUUAUUUACUAAGGUUCUUUUUUUUUUUUUUGAGCUGGAGUUUGAUUCUUGUUGCCCAGGUUGGAGUGCAAUGGCUCAGUCUCAGCUCGCUGCAACCUCCAGCUCCCGGGUUCAAGCGAUUCUUCUGCCUCAGCCUCUCAGGAUGAAGAGGAAACAAAGAAAGAGGAAUCUCUUAAAUCU
rnacentral:lncRNA from 10 species